UCAAGGAUGGGCUCACGUCCUAUCAGCUUGUUGGUAGGGUAACGGCCUACCAAGGCUCCGACGGGUAGGCUGGUCUGAGAGGACGAUCAGCCACACUGGCACUGCGACACGGGCCAGACUCCUACGGGAGGCAGCAGUGAGGAAUAUUGCGCAAUGGGCGACAGCCUGACGCAGCGACGCCGCGUGGGGGAUGAAGGUCUUCGGAUUGUAAACCCCUUUCGGGAGGGAAGAUGGGACGGGCAACCGUUCGGACGGUACCUCCAGAAGCAGCCACGGCUAACUUCGUGC
rnacentral:rRNA from 1 species